CUCAACCGGGGAACUGCUUGGCAUACUGCUGGUCUUGAGCCCGGUAGAGGCUAUCGGAACUCUAGGUGGAGCGGUGAAAUGCGUAGAUAUCUAGAGGAACGCCAAAGGCGAAAGCAGAUAGCUGGACCGGCGCUGACGCUGAGGCACGAAAGCGUGGGUAGCGAACGGGAUUAGAUACCCCGGUAGUCCACGCCGUAAACGUUGUGCACUAGAUCGAGGGAGUUUUGACGCUGUCUCGGUCGAAGCGAAAGCGAUAAGUGCACCGCCUGGGGACUACGGUCGCAAGGCUAAAACUCAAAGGAAUUGACGGGGGCUCACACAAGCGGUGGAGCAUGUGGCUUAAUUCGAAGCAACGCGAAGAACCUUAUCCAGGGCUUGACAUGUACGGAUUAGACGCCUCGAAAGAGGGUUGACGCUUUUUAAGUGGAACG
rnacentral:rRNA from 1 species